GCUCCGCGGAGCCUCCCGCCGGGCGGCCGCGGGUUCCCGGAAAGGGCGGCCGGUCGGCCGGUCGGCGCGGGGCCGCGGCGGGACUCCCCGCCCGGAGCGCGAGGAGAGCGGCGGCAGCUGCGGACGAUGCGGCGGCGAGCGGGGCUGCGGCGCAGCCGCCCGGCCCCCCGCGCCUGAGCGCCCGCCGCCGGGACCCCGGGCGCCCGGCCGGGCGAUGCGCGGCCCCCGCUGAGCCGGCGGCGCGGGAGCCCGGAGCGCAGCCUUCGCGGCGGGCAUGCCGGAUCGGCGCCGAGUGUGACUCUGGGGGACAGUGAAGGAGCCCCAACAUGGAGGACUUUUCUACCAGGACCUACGGCACCAGCGGGCUGGACAACCGGCCGCUGUUCGGAGAAACGUCGGCCAGGGACCGAAUCAUCAAUUUAGUUGUUGGCAUCUUAACAUCCUUAUUGAUUCUAGUAACGCUGAUCAGUGCUUUUGUUUUCCCUCAACCACCUCCAAAACCAUUGAAUAUAUUUUUUGCUGUCUGCAUCUCUUUGAAUACUAUUACUGCCUGCAUACUUAUCUACUGGUAUCGACAAGGAGACUUAGAACCGAAAUUUAGAAACCUAAUUUACUAUAACUUAUUUUCUAUCACCAUGUUAUGUAUAUGUGCAAACCUGUACUUCCAUGAUGUGGGAAAGUGAGGCUGCCAAGGAGAAAAUACUUACCAGGUCUCUUCAAAGCUAUACAUUAGGACUGUGAAUAAAAGCUGGAUAAGCUUGACUCAGCUCCCAAUGCCAGCAAUCAGUAAAACCAAAGGAAACUGCAGCAUAAUCAUCUCCUAGGUCCGUGUCCUUGUCUACUGGUCAGUCUCAAGCUAAUGAUUCUCUUUUUGAAGAAGGUCACUGGUAACUCCAGACCAUGCUGAUGAAAUAUAAAACAGGUUUACUUGGGACUAGUCAGAGAUUCAUAUUUGAUCAUCAGAGAUGAAUAUUACACCAUUUUUAAAACAUAGUAGUGAAACUUUGGUGAUUCAAAACUCUUCUCAGUGGCUGAAGUGAAUAAAAUUCCCUGCUAAUAGAUGGCACUUACCACAGGGAUCUAUGGACUUAAGACCUCCCAUACUAUAUUUCCAUAAGACUAGACCUCAGAUGACAUAUUUAAAGGAGGUAAAAAGUCAUAGCAGCAACACUUCAUGGCUUAAGCACUGUAUGUAUUUAAAAGCCAGAGGAAUGGUAAAUUAAGCCUCCUGGGGAUUGCUCCUAUUUCUUUGGGGAUGUUGUAGUUAACAGUGUGGCUUCUUUGCCUGAACUACCUGUUUUUAAGAAUUACCUAAUGACAGUUUACCAAAUCUUCAACAUCCUUUGAGUCUUCUGAAAUAGGACUGCCCAAAGAUGACCCAAUGAUAUUUGAUUCUUCUCGAUGAUGUUGGAAUAUGGGAUCUGUAAUGAGUUAAAUUUCAAAUUAGUCUUAAAUGUAUAUAACAUAUAUAUCCUAACCCAUGUUAAGAAUCUAGAGUAAGUAUUCUACCAAAGUGCAAAAUUUAACAAGAAGACUAAUCUUUAUUGUUGGACCAAGAAAGACUAAAACAAUUGGAUUAAUUAUCUGCCUGAUUUUUCUUCUUAAGACUUAUCAGGCACAUGAUGGAGAUGUAUUACAGUACCUGUUAGUGUUGUCAACGGCAAGACAGAUUCCGUAUCUAUAACAUCAGAUGCCUGGAUAAAGCCAUGUGGUGAAGGAACAAUAAGUAUUGUUUCAUCAUCAAUUGUUGUUUGAUCAACUUGUUCUUCUAUAGUAGGAGACUCUAAAUCCUAAAUAAUUUAAAAAAAAAGAAAAAAAAAAGAGAUUCUGACUCAGAUUAUUAGUUUUCCUUAAAAUCCAAAACAUGUUUAAGUUUGAAAGGACUUAACUUUCAAGUAUCCCAUCCUAUAUAAUAAAAGCCUAAUAUGCUAAGUGUCUGGUGGUCUGUUCAACCAAUCAAAGUGUAAUAUGUUAAUGAUAUGCUAAGGCCACUCAGCUGCUCACUGUGAUCACCAGGGGACUGACGCUCCAACUCAUAGGUUAGCUUGCUGCUGUGGUCAGGCUGAUCAGGACUGAGUGGGAUGGGAUGAACAUGCCCUGGAGCCUUCCUUUGCCUUCCCCAACCCGUUGGGGGAUGUUGGGAGAGCCAGUUUCAGCCUGAUUCCAAAGGCCAGGCUGAGGACCCCACUGGUGCACAAAUUAAUGCACUGAGCCUCUAGUUUUAAAAUUAAAAUAUAAAGAAAUGAAAGUUAAGGUCUUAAAAUGGACAAAAGAACCAAUUCAGUUAUAGGUCCCCUGAUUAUAGAAUAAUGCUCUUCUGUGGCAUGAGGUUCCUAAGCUAAACCACAAAGAUCUAUAUUAAUCACCCUCAGGAAAAUGCUUCCAUGGGUUCCAGCAGAUGUUUCCAAGGGAAUGCUUUUAGUGCGGGACAGUGGUAAGACGGAGUAACACUGCUGGGCGACUGAUACUUGUGCGGUCAGAGGUAUGGGUUUGCACUUUAUUUUGUGUCUAAAGAAAAGCCAUAUCACAGGAUAACAUAUAUAUCCAUAAAUUAUUUCUGAGCUCAUUCCAAACUGCAGGUUUGAAGCUCAAGGCAAGAACCUAUAGGCUGUUCACUUAAGUAUAACUUACCUCAGUAACGUAAGUACAGGCCAAAUGAGAGUGUGAUUCUUCCUCUUGUUUAAGGUCUUCUGUUCUGACCAUAACACUAUUCAUCAGUUCUGUGCUAUUUUGGUCACUGAAUUUGGAUACACGAGCAUCAUUAAAUGAUGGCUCUACAGUCACCUUAGGCUGAUGAAUUUCAUCUGGGAAAGUAUCUGCUUCCAGGGCAUCUGGAGGCUCAGGAAAAUCGGAUGAGUGAAUAUCAUUAUCUACUGUCAGUUCUGCUUGGGAUAUGGAAGAAGUGAUGUCCUCUGAGGCAACUGUCUGAAUGAUGACUCUCGGUGUGUGACACUGCACUGUGACAUUGUCACUUGUGUUCAACAAAUGCUCUGGCUAUAAAAUGUUAAAAAAAGAGAUCAAUGACGAAAUGAAAAAGUACCUUUCAUAUUCAAGUUAUAGGCAACAAGUGACAUUUAUAGGUGCUAAUAUGAGCUACUGUUCCCUCCCACCUCUCAUCUCUGGAACUGCAGUGUUCUUAUCACAAUUAUUCUAGAAACCCUGUUCUCUGCCCACUUGGGCCUUUGCUCACCUAAUAUUCCUAUUCCCCUAAUACAAAUCCAUCACAUGUAAAGAUUCACAGGGAGAGAGGGAUUUGUCCCAGUGAAGGCAGAAUCAAGAUGUAAAACAUUGGUCCUGGGACAACAGUGAUAGGGAGAAUGGUUUAAAUACCGGUAAACUAAUCUUGGUCUCUUUUAACAGGUAUUCAAAUACUUGAACUGAACUCAAAAUAAACCCCCCUCCCCUCAGAGAGCUUGUUAUGGAAGGCACAUGGGUUCUAGCAUAGUGUUAAAAACUAGAAAAACAUGGAGACACUUGUCAGCCAAUCUUCUCUACAAAAACUAGAAAACCCAAAGAGUUUAUGUAAGGCAACAUACAGAUAAAGCAUGGACAAUGAUCUGUUCAGGAGAAGCAGGCGCAGCAGCCGUCAGGGUUACUGUGGGACUAGCAGUCAGAGUGAGGGGAAGGCCUUGGCUUGAGCUUGUCUGAAGCAGGUAGGUACCUGGAGUCCCAGUGGGCUGUAAAUGGAAAGACUAAAAGAAAAAAAGCACAUCAACACAGAUACAUAGACUACUGAGUUAGGUAAGUAGACUUACUAGUACUCAUUAAGUCUAGCUUUGUAUCCCAAACGGGGACUAAUUCACUAGCCACAAAAGUACAUACCAAUUGUGUAGGUGUAAAAUAAGUAAUAAAAUGAAGGUUAUAAUAUCCUUUACUGUGUAUCCCUCUUAAGUCAUUACUUAGCCUAGAGUUAAAAACAGAGAGGCAAGGCCUUUAUCCUGCUGUCUACUUUCUGAUUUUCUGUGCUCUGCUCUUGUUUCAUGGGACUAAGAUGUGGUAACAUGAGCCACUGUUUCCCUUGUUAUUAGCACAUAAAAACUAUCAUUCUCCCAAUUUCAAAAGCUUUACAUUUUUGAAAAGGCCAGUGUUACUUGAAUAGGUUUUUUUUUUUUUUUUUUUUUUGGUUUUUUUUUGUCUAGAAUGAUUUUAGCAAAUAUUUUUUAUAUUAAGAGGAAAUGUACAGAUAUAGCAAUUAGCAGUGUUCUGCUAAAGAAAAAAGAAAAUUCCCAUUUGAAAAGCUGGUAAAUGGACAACACAUUUAUUUUUUUGAGAUUAUAGAAAGAUAAUAAACUAUUCAACACUCCUAUACCUUUCAUGACCAUAAGCUUCUAUAUAAUAAUUUAGUUUAUCCUAACACUCUAAAGUAUUUGCAUGUUCUUUAGUCUGA